GACGAACGCUGGCGGCGUGCCUAACACAAGCAAGUCGAACGGAGAUAUGAUUUCGGUUUUAUCUUAGUGGCGAACGGGUGAGUAACGCGUGAGCAACCUGGCCUUCAGAGGGGGAUAACAUUUGGAAACAGAUGCUAAUACCGCAUAAGACCACGACCCGACAUCGGGAUGAGGUCAAAGGAGUAAUCCGCUGAGGGAGGGGCUCGCGUCCCAUUAGAUAGAUGGCGGGGUAACGGCCCACCAUGUCGACGAUGGGUAGCCGAGCUGAGAGGCUGAUCGGCCACACUGGAACUGAGACACGGUCCAGACUCCUACGGGAGGCAGCAGUGGGGAAUAUUGGGCAAUGGGCGCAAGCCUGACCCAGCAACGCCGCGUGAGGGAAGAAGGCUUUCGGGUUGUAAACCUCUGUCCUUGGUGACGAAACAAAUGACGGUAGCCAAGGAGGAAGCCCCGGCUAACUACGUGCCAGCAGCAGCCGCAG
rnacentral:rRNA from 1 species